rnacentral:tRNA from 1 species
UGGCUCAGCAGUUAAGAGCACUGGCUGAUCUUCCAGAGGACCUGGGUUCAAUUCCCAG